GGAAGGGGUGUAUUUAUUAGAUUAAAAACCAAUGCCCUUCGGGGCUCUCUGGUGAUUCAUGAUAACUUCUCGAAUCGCAUGGCCUUGCGCCGGCGAUGGUUCAUUCAAAUUUCUUCCCUAUCAACUUUCGAUGUUUGGGUAUUGGCCAAACAUGGUUGCAACGGGUAACGGAGGGUUAGGGCUCGACCCCGGAGAAGGAGCCUGAGAAACGGCUACUACAUCCAAGGAAGGCAGCAGGCGCGCAAAUUACCCAAUCCCGACUCGGGGAGGUAGUGACAAUAAAUACUGAUACAGGGUUCUUUCGGAUCUUGUAAUUGGAAUGAGUACAAUUUAAAUCCCUUAACGAGGAACAAUUGGAGGGCAAGUCUGGUGCCAGCAGCCGCGGUAAUUCCAGCUCCAAUAGCGUAUAUUAAAGUUGUUGUGAUUAAAAAGCUCGUAGUUGAACCUUGGGCCUGGCUGGCCGGUCCGCCUCACCGCGUGUACUGGUCCGGCCGGGCCUUUCCCUCUGUGGAACCCUAUGCCCUUCACUGGGUGUAGCGGGGAACCAGGACUUUUAC
rnacentral:rRNA from 1 species